UACGUAGGUGGCAAGCGUUGUCCGGAGUUAUUGGGCGUAAAGCGCGCGCAGGCGGUUCGGCAAGUCCAUGGUGAAAGCGCCCGGCUCAACUGGGCGAGUGCCGUGGGGACUGCCGAGCUGGAGGGGAGCAGAGGCGAGUGGAAUUCCGGGUGUAGUGGUGAAAUGCGUAGAGAUCCGGAGGAACACCAGUGGCGAAGGCGGCCCCCUGGGCCGCGCCUGACGCUGAGACGCGAAAGCGCGGGGAGCGAACGGG
rnacentral:rRNA from 1 species